GACAACAGCUCAGGGCAGAGCAUCUUCUUUGCAAGCAGAAGAUCCCAGGUUCAACCCCUGCUGGCGUCC